GAUGAACGCUGGCGGCGUGCUAACACAUGCAAGUCGAGCGAGAGAGUUCUUCGGAACAAUCUAGCGGCGGACGGGUGAGUAACACGUGGGCAACCUGCCUCAUAGAGGGGAAUAGCCUUCCGAAAGGAAGAUUAAUACCGCAUAACAUCGUUGAAGGGCAUCCUUCGAUGAUCAAAGGAGCAAUCCGCUAUGAGAUGGGCCCGCGGCGCAUUAGCUAGUCGGUGAGGUAACGGCUCACCAAGGCGACGAUGCGUAGCCGACCUGAGAGGGUGAUCGGCCACAUUGGGACUGAGACACGGCCCAGACUCCUACGGGAGGCAGCAGUGGGGAAUAUUGCACAAUGGGGGAAACCCUGAUGCAGCAACGCCGCGUGAGUGAUGACGGCCUUCGGGUUGUAAAGCUCUGUCUUUGGGGACGAUAAUGACGGUACCCAAGGAGGAAGUCACGGCUAACUACGUGCCAGCCGCCGCAGUAA
rnacentral:rRNA from 1 species